GCUGCGCCGAGGUCGGGCCGGGGGCGGGGUCUGAGCUGCGGUUGCCGCAGGGACUGAGCGGGACGCGACUCGAGGGCGGAAGUGAGGAAGUUGGCGUCCCCAAGAGCGGCGGAGCUGUGCGCGCGGCGGCCAUGGGGGGCUCGGGCAGUCGCCUGUCCAAGGAGCUGCUGGCCGAGUACCAGGACUUGACGUUCCUGACCAAGCAAGAGAUCAUCCAAGCCCACAGGCGGUUUUCUGAGCUGCUUCCUCGGGAGAAGCAGAAUGUGGAGGACUCGCUACGAGAACGUGUUUCCUUUGAGGAUAUCCUCAGCCUUCCAGAGCUCAAGGCCAACCCCUUCAAGGAACGAAUCUGCAAGGUCUUUUCCACAUCCCCUGCCAGAGACAGCCUGAGCUUCGAGGACUUCCUGGACCUCCUGAGUGUGUUCAGUGACACGGCAACCCCAGACAUCAAGUCGCACUAUGCCUUCCGCAUCUUUGACUUCGAUGAUGAUGGAACUCUGGACAGAGAAGACCUGUGCCGGCUUGUGAACUGUCUCACUGGGGAGGGCGAGGACACUCGGCUCAGCACUUUGGAGAUGAAGCAGCUUAUUGACAAUGUACCCGUGGGUCCCUGUCUGCUGCAUUUGGAUCUGGGAUGCUAUUAUGGGAGGUGGUACUGAGGCAAGAGAGAGCUCUGGAUCCCCCAGAAUGUCUCAGGUCACUCUUCCAGUGGGAAGGUCACCCAUGUACCCAGAUACAGCCCAUUCCAAGGAAAAGUCUUAGGAGAGAGCUCUUUUAAGAUUGUCCUGUGACUGCAGUCCUGGUGUGUGUCGUAGCACACCCUGUCCAAGACCUUCCCACUGCCGAGCUGUGGUCUGGGUCAUGUCCACGUCAUCAGGGCCAGCCAGCUGGCCCAGCCUGGAGCUGGCACUGCAGUGGGCUGGGGCAGGGAGCACCCUCCCCGCUCCUCACUGCUGCUCUCAUUGCUGUUUCUACUGAUCAAUAAUAAAGGUUUCAGAAGUUU